rnacentral:lncRNA from 1 species
AUUCUUACUAGACAGUUGAAUACCAGUAAUGUCUGCUGAGACAUUCAUAGCAUGUCAUGCAUACGCACAACGAGAACCUUCUUGUCUUCCAUGUUGAUUUUUUACUAGAUUUUUUGGAUGAUGUUACCUAGGCUUCGAUAUAUGAGUGUUGAGAGACUUUAUUUGAGACUUGUUUGUAUGAUCGUGAUGACGACAGUGCGAGAGUUUGGUUUCGAUGCAUGAUCACCUCAAUAUUAACAUAACUUAACCUAAUAACCUAUUCUGUACGAAGCUGGAAAGGAAUCUCGCGGGAUGGCACAAGGACAAAGGAGAUAAUACACUCAUCUUUCACCGUCACGAAUUGCUAUAUUGUUUUAUUUGUAUAUGUGAUACUUUUGGCCAUAGAAUGCUUUCGGUCAACGCGCGUGCUUAUCUCUAUGAUUGUAUUGAGUUUAUCAGAAAUAACCAAUCGAACCACGUUCUUUCCAGAAGACUUCUUCUCAGCUCCUGUUUAUAGUCAGUAUGGCUCCCCGCGCUUUUAUGAAAUGUUUAUUUGUGUAGAAUAGAGAUGAGAAAUUGGUUAGCGGGAAGAGACAGAAGCAAGAGAGCCAAUACACGUGCUUAUCUUAAUGAUUGUAUUGGGUUUACCAGAAAUAAGCAGUCAGAUACAUGUUCCUAUGCCUAAUUCACGGUCAUAUAAGUAGGUUUUGAGACUCGCUAGGGAAAACCGUCCAAAAAUUAAGUCAUGAUAGUCAUGAAAAAUCAACAUGGACGGUCAACAAAGUCCGCAUUCUUACGACACAAACAAGAAUGAGUAGAAUAUCUCUGCCUCUGUCUAAGAUGUUCACAGCAUGUCACAUAUACGCAGAAUUUCUUAUUCACGUUAAUUAACUGAUUUCUAUUAUGGUAUGAUUAAGUUAACAACUUAAUGUUCCAAAUGAAAAUGGGUUAGCCGACUUAUCUGGAUUCCAAUCAAGUGAUCAAGAAGGUGGUAUGGCACAACGAGCUCAACCACUUGUUCCAAAUCAAGCUCAACCGUAGUUUGGUGCACUAAGUGGAGGUCAACCUGGAUCACAACAAGCUACUCAGGGUCAAAUAAUUGGUAUUGAUAUUUCAACCGAUUCAAAAAAACACAAAUUUAUUCAGCAAUAACUAGUUCUUCUACUUUAUGCACAUAAGUAUUAACAAUGCAAAAGUCAAGCAAACUGUGAAGUUUGGUCAUGUUCAUUGCCAGAUUAUAAAACUAUGAAAAAUUUAUUGACUGAUAUGACUGCUUGUCAAGCAGAACAAAGCAGUACGAUGUCAAACUGUAGAUCUUUGAGGCAAAUUAUUAGUCAUUGGAAACAUUGCAAUUAUAACGUUUCUCGUGUAUGUUUACCUCCAAAGUAAUCAAACAAAAAUAAAACUAAUAAAAUUCAAAUCCAUCAAACUAAAAUGAGAAGAACAUAUCAUGUGUUGUUCAUGUCCUAUUACAACAGCUAGUUUAGUAGCUGCACGAUGUAUUAUUGAAGGAAUGCCAACACGAAGCAUAUAAGGAGCACCUGGUGCAAUAGGAAAUGCUAGAUUAUCUCAACUUACUUCAAAUAUAUCUUUUUCUCUAAAUUGUGAUCCUAAUACAGUUACAGUUGCUGGUAAUCCAGCAAUACUUACCAGUCCUAUGUUUGCUGUUGUAGCGACUGCCAUUAAUAUAUAACAAUCUGUUAAUAUACAGCAACUAUUUGAUUUGAAUGAUUCAAAACAACUUAGUGCUUUAAGUGAAAAUAGGUUAGCUAACCUUCAGCUUCCAGCUGGAAUUCAACCAGGUCAAGUACAAGCAACAUUAGUAUAGGAAUCAAACGAUUGGCAUUAAACUGCAACACCAGAUCUUAGAAAUUAUUUUGUUUAUAAAUUGGUUCAAGCAGUAUUGGUUCAACCAUCUCACAAUCCACAAUCUAUGCUCAAGAAAAGAAUCCACAAUCUUGUAGCAUAUGCAAGGAAAGUUGAAGAUUACAUGUAAGGAAUAGAGAAUUCCAUAUAUUUACUUAUUGAAAAAAUACAUACAAUUGAAGAAGUAUUGUAGAAAGACAAAAACGGAAAGAACAACAACAGUUACAAGUCUAGCAUCAGCAAUAUCCACAACCUUCGAGAACUGAUUUUCCUUAUUUUUAUGUGGAUAGUUUAGUAAUAAAGUUUGAACUCAAAAAUCUCAAAUAAUUAUUUUGUAUCUUUUAUUUUAGUUUUUUAAUUUAUUACUUUUAGUACAUAUAUAUAUAAUAUAUAUUGGCAGCUGUUUUACAUUAAAAGUUGAUAUAUUAAUAAUUCUAUGAUGUUGUUGUGUUUUCAAUUGUAUAAUUGUGUAUCUAAUUAUAUCCAAUGAUUGUGAAAAAAUGGGGAAUUAA